rnacentral:rRNA from 1 species
CAGCCGCCACGGGAACACGUAGGGUGCAAGCGUUAAUCGGAAUUACUGGGCGUAAAGCGUGCGCAGGCGGUUAUAUAAGACAGAUGUGAAAUCCCCGGGCUCAACCUGGGAACUGCAUUUGUGACUGUAUAGCUAGAGUACGGCAGAGGGGGAUGGAAUUCCGCGUGUAGCAGUGAAAUGCGUAGAUAUGCGGAGGAAUACCGAUGGCGAAGGCAGCCCCCUGGGCCAAUACUGACGCUCAUGCACGAAAGCGUGGGGAGCAAACAGGAUUAGAUACCCCUGUAGUCCCUGUCUCUUAUAC